GAUGAACGCUGGCGGCGUGCUUAACACAUGCAAGUCGAACGGAAAGGCCUCAGCUUGCUGGGGUACUCGAGUGGCGAACGGGUGAGUAACACGUGGGUGAUCUGCCCUGCACUUUGGGAUAAGCUUGGGAAACUGGGUCUAAUACCGAAUAUGACCACUUCUUGGAUGUUGUGGUGGAAAGCUUUUGCGGUGUGGGAUGAGCCUGCGGCCUAUCAGCUUGUUGGUGGGGUAAUGGCCUACCAAGGCGGCGACGGGUAUCCGGCCUGAGAGGGUGUACGGACACAUUGGGACUGAGAUACGGCCCAGACUCCUACGGGAGGCAGCAGGGGGGAAUAUUGCACAAUGGGCGCAAGCCUGAUGCAGCGACGCCGCGUGGGGGAUGAAGGCCUUCGGGUUGUAAACUCCUUUCGCUAUCGACGAAGCCACUUGUGGUGACGGUAGGUAGAUAAGAAGCACCGGCUAACUACGUGCCAGCCGCCGCCGUAA
rnacentral:rRNA from 1 species